GUUAUUUUGGCAGAAUAGUGCAAUAGAUUUAGGAUCUUUAUAUGUAGUUAAUACAAAUAACAC
rnacentral:tRNA from 2 species